rnacentral:misc_RNA from 1 species
AAGCUGUUGGUUGUUGC